CUGAAGCGUGGUGCCAAUUUCUUCAUUUAACAUUGAUGUGAAAGAAGCUUCCUUUCUUUUUUUUUCAAACUUUUAAACUUUUUAUUCUGUAUUGGGGUAUAGCUGAUUAACAAUGUUGUGGCAGCCUCCAGUGAACAGCAGAGGGACUCAGCCACACGCAUAUAGAGAACUGAACAGGGCCCGCAAUCCUGCAUGUGCUUUUCAAUAAUCCCAUGACUAGUCAGUGAGGAUGGAGCAGUGACCCCAAGACAGAAGACUUCAUUUGGCAUGACUCACCCUUGGAGACAUCCAGCUCGCCUGGCGUGUGUUGUUAAGUGCCUGGUUCUGUAAAUAUUGACAGUCAGAAACCAUCCUGAGAGCUAGGAAGCAAUGACCUUGCUUCGUAGGAAGUGACUCCUCUGCUGAUGUGUGACUCAGAGUUGAUAUAUUAUGGGGUCUGAUUCAGCAAGGAAAGUUUGGUCUGCCACCGCAGAGAACAACAUCCAAGGCCACUUCGGUUUCUAGGAUACUGGUUUCUUGACAAGUGUGGCAUUGUCAAGAAGGAAAAGCUCAGAAGGAGUCUCCAUAUUUGAGAAACUGAAGCAGGUGUGGAGGGAU